GGAAAGGUGGCUGAGUGGUCUAAAGCGCUUGCUUGGAGAGCAAGUGUACCUUAACGGGUACCGCGAGUUCGAAUCUCGCCCUUUCCG
rnacentral:tRNA from 1 species